GACGAACGCUGGCGGCGUGCUUAACACAUGCAAGUCGAACGGAAAGGCCCCUUUGGGGGUACUCGAGUGGCGAACGGGUGAGUAACACGUGAGUAACCUGCCCUUGACUUCGGGAUAACUUCAGGAAACUGGCGCUAAUACCGGAUAGGAAUCCUUGCUGCAUGGUGGGGGUUGGAAAGCUUCGGCGGUUUUGGAUGGACUCGCGGCUUAUCAGCUUGUUGGUGGGGUAGUGGCUUACCAAGGCUUUGACGGGUAGCCGGCCUGAGAGGGCGACCGGCCACAUUGGGACUGAGAUACGGCCCAGACUCCUACGGGAGGCAGCAGUGGGGAAUAUUGCACAAUGGGCGGAAGCCUGAUGCAGCAACGCCGCGUGCGGGAUGACGGCCUUCGGGUUGUAAACCGCUUUCAGCAGGGGCGAAGCUUGUGGUGACGGUACCUGCAGAAGAAGCACCGGCUAACUACGUG
rnacentral:rRNA from 1 species